CUGUUACUCCCUCUGUCCCAAAAUUCUUGUCUUAGAUUUGUCUAAAUACGGAUGUAUCAAGUCACGUUUUAGUAUUAGAUACAUCCAUAUCUAGACAAAUUUAAGACAAUAAUUUUAGGACGGAGGAAGUACUUC
rfam:Triticum aestivum genome assembly, contig: Triticum_aestivum_CS42_TGACv1_scaffold_249750_3DL